rnacentral:piRNA from 1 species
UGAGAAGUCUAGGUACAUUUGGAGGUC